UACGUAGGGAGCAAGCGUUGUCCGGAAUCAUUGGGCGUAAAGCGCGCGUAGGUGGCCUCGUAAGUCCGCUGUGAAAGUCAAAGGCUCAACCUUUGAAAGCCGGUGGAUACUGUGAGGCUAGAGUACGGAAGAGGCGAGUGGAAUUCCUGGUGUAGCGGUGGAAUGCGCAGAUAUCAGGAGGAACACCAAUAGCGAAGGCAGCCUUCUGGGCCAACACUGACGCUCAUGCACGAAAGCGUGGGGAGCAAACAGG
rnacentral:rRNA from 1 species